rnacentral:lncRNA from 1 species
UAUAGGUAAAAUACACUAAUAAACCUAGAGCGCAUAAGUCAAUGUCAACACUAGUAUUGUUGAAUUAUUAGAGUAUAUUGCUAUUAUUUUGUUGCGUGUUUCCUGUAGUAUUUUUUCAUUACUCAUAUUACAUAUCUAUUGUCUGUGUAUUGCAUAUAUAUAUAUUGUUUGUAUGGCUAUAUGCCCUCCUAGGGGCCCUUAUUUGGUGAAUUAAAAAAAAUCUUUUCUAUUUUUCUAUUCUAUAAGAUAGGCAUCCAACCCUACCUGUAAUUUUUCACAUACAUGUGAGUUAGAAUUAGUCCUGUCACAUUAUAAGGUUUUCAAUGAAUUGCAAUUUGCAUAUUUCCUUCGAUUACAAAAAAAAUCGAUAUCCUUUUCGGUUCUUUUCGGUCCUUUUCGGUCCUUUUCGGUUCUUUUCUGUAAAUCGUCGCUCUUUUCUGUAAGUCGUCGAACCC